ACCUCACCCUUUCUGCAUCUACAGCGUAUCGAUCUGUUCACAACACUGUUUAAACAAACUCUUUCUGCAGAUCUUUCUAACCUCUCCCUUUCUGCAUCUACAGUGUAUCCAUCUGUUCACAACACUGUUUAAACAAACUCUUUCUGCAGAUCUUUCUAACCUCUCCCUUUCUGCAUCUACAGCGUAUUGAUCUGUUCACAACACUGUUUAAACAAACUCUUUCUGCAGAUCUUUCUAACCUCUCCCUUUCUGCAUCUACAGCGUAUCGAUCUGUUCACAACACUGUUUAAACAAACUCUUUCUGCAGAUCUUUCUAACCUCUCCCUUUGUAGUAGUGUAUCCAGCUGGUCAAAACACGUUAAAACAAACUCCUUCUGAUGUAGAGCAGCAACAACAAACAUGGGAAGCAGUUUCAUUAAUUUUAAUUUUACAGUCAUUGUUACUGAUAAAGAUGAAAUAAACUUGUACAACAUGUUCGUAAGGGAUUUAGUUUGAUUUCAAGACAUGUUUGAGAGGAAAAAAGACAUUGAUAGAUCUGCAAAUAAGAUGUCCAGUCAGCCCAAUAGUGGCCACCAUCACGCGUCCAGACAGAAUAUAGGUCAUUGCUGGCGACCACUAUAAAUGUUCAGUCAGACCAUUAGCUAUCACUGAUGGGCACUAUAAGAUGUUCAGUCAGACCCUUAGCUAACACUGAUGGGCACUAUAAGAUGUUCAGUAAGACCAUUAGCUAACACUGAUGCUCACUUUAAGAUGUUGACUGAACAUUGGUCAGCGCUGGUGGCCACCACAAGAUGUCAAGUCUGAACGCUGAUUGGUGCCAAUGGCCCCUGUAAGACAAACAUACAUUAGUCCAUGCCAGUGACCACUACAAGAAAAACAGACAUUGUCCAGUCUGACCAUUAGUUGGUACGAGUGGUAACUACAAGUUUCAAGUCUGACCGUUAGUUCUUGCCAGCAGUUAUUCGAACAUGUUCAGUCCAACCAUAAGUGGCCGCUGAUGGCUGCUUUUAUAUGUCCAGUCUGACUGUAAGUUGGCGCCAACAAAUAUUGCAAGAUGUCCAGUCUGACCAUGAGUUGGUGCCGGCAGCUACUACAAGAUGUUCAUUCCGGUCAACAGCAGGGAAUGUAGCUGCUGCUGAGGAAUACAAUACCACACAACGAGCUACACCACAAUAAGAGCAGCCCUGGGGUGGGGGUAAAUGGCUGCCCUGACAUGGGAGAUAGGAAGCUGCCUGACCCCCAAACAGAUUGUUGGCGGGGGUAGUGUGAGGCAGUCUUGUAGUCAUGGCAACCUGUGCAGACAGGGGAAGCAGGGUGCUCCACGUGCAGGAAGAGUAUGAAUCAGGGCGGAAGAGAUUCUGGUUAUAAUUACUAAGAUUUUAAGAGACUUCUAUUUCAUAUACACAUUUGAAUGUGGCAUCUGUCCACUGUAUUUUAUAAAGCUUGAUAACAUUUCAAAUUUGUUGAGAUGAUA